UGAUUUUUAUCACAAUAAUUAUUUAAGAAAAUAUCAAGUUCUUGUUGAUUUCUUCAUUGUGUGCGUGUGUGUGUGUGUGUCCAUCAUUCAAAAAACUGAAACUCUCAUUCAAUUUUUUUUUCUAUUUUUUUUUCUUUUCCAACAAAUUAAGUAUAAUAAUAACUAACAUUACAGUAAUAUUGGGAUUCAUUUAUUCGGAAAAAAAAAAGAAAAAAAGAAAAAGGGAAAACGACACUGAUAUUCCAUGUAACUUGUCUUCAAUAAAAAAAUAAAGAGUAAAGUAUAAAAGAAAACAACAACAACAACAACAACAACAACAACAACAACAACAACAACAACAACAACAAAAUACCAUGUGAACUUCUUAGAGGACGAAAAAAAGAAAAAAAAAAAAAAGGAGGAAAGGAAGAAUUCAUAAAUGCUACAUAUUCAUUUCUUUUACGCAGGAAUCGGCAAAUUACAAUAAGCUGCCGCGGGGUUUCCUACUAGCCAGAGGCGGCCUGUGAAGACCCUUUGUUCGCGUUUGCAGGGUGGCAGGACUGGCAGGGGGAAGGGGCAGAGAGAGGGCCAAUCCUCAUGGACAACACUAUGCAAGAGUGGAGGUCUCUUCUGUUUACACUGGUGGUCUGAGUCAAUCACACCAAAAUCUAGAUCUAUACACAAAAUGUAACUGCUUUGGCCUUGUAAAAAUAUAAUGUGUAAAUCCAUUUUCAUAUACAGACAACAUUGGAGUUUGAUGUUGCAUACAACGGUUACACUAAUCCAGCCAUGAAAGUGAUAUUUAUGUGCCUGAAAUACUACAGCAUUGUAUGUUGUGCUGUAGAUGUUAACCCUUAUCUUCCCACCAGAAGCUGACUGCUGGUAUGAGCAUCAUAACUUUGAGUUUGCAUAUGUCAUUACCUUAUUUUACCCAAAAUACAAAUGUGCUGCAUCUUUUACCUGUAAGAAGUUUCCACCAUCACGAAAACUAAGUCAAACCACAGCCAAAGUACGAGUUACAUUUUAGAAGAUUGCAAACAACUGCCAAAUUAAAUCUGAUCUGGCAGAUGAGGUGUGAUCUGGAUAAUGGCUGACCAAAUGCAAAUAGAAAAUGAGUCUUGACAGCUCAUGGUGUGAUGUAGUGCCAGAAAAAUCUCUUAACUGCACAGUAUACCACACCUAGACCUAGUAGCAGAAUUAGUUAAUACCUACCACACUAUAACAGACAUGUUCCCUUCCCAUGCAUGUAUGUGGAUACAUUGGUAAAUCAAAAGAUAGAGGCAGUUCUUCAUCUGUUGCAUCACUUUCCUCCCAAGACAUGCCUGUCAUGAAACAUUAAAUAAGAUAUUAGAAAAAUGUUCAUUAAUUUCACCUCAAAGACUGAAAUUAGGAUCAAGUUGGUUUGCACAUAAAUAGCUACUAAAUAAAGUUGAAUAAAGUGUUUUAUUAAAUUAUUCACAUACUAAUCAAGACAAAAUGCUCAGAAUUUUUCCACAACAAGACUUCUCAGAACCUUGCAAUAACCUCAUAAAAAACAUAUUGAAAAGAAAACACUACAGUAUGGCUAAGUAAGUCUAUCUAAGUAAUGCGUGAAAAAACAUGGAAUGCAGUGCCUAAAGGAAGGCCUAUUUAUCAAGUGAAAUAAAAUAAAUACAAUGGAUUCUUCAUUAAAAAGUGGAAGCUUCAUAACUUCUCAUUAUAUCUACAGUCGAUCAUGGCUGUCCUGCAAUAAAAAUAUUUGCAUUCAUUCUUACUAAGGUGAUAAUUAAUGUAAAGGUAGCACUCCAUCCAGCAUCCUGAUUUCACCUGUGGUAGCCUUCAUAAGUGUUGGUCAUCAUGCAAAAUGUCCACAUCUACUUGAGAUACACAGCAUUAUAACAAGCAAGCCUACAAGAGAGAGCUUAAUGGAAUUGUUCCAGUUUGUGAAACUUAAAUUAUAUACACUACAACUUCCAUGUGUCAGAACCUAACCAAGCUUAAUGAUGUGUGGGUGUAGUCUGGCAUCAAAAUUCAUGCAAUCAGCUAUUACUAUGCAAGUGCAUUACCAAACUAAUACAAUGUAUCGAGGAUGAUGAUACCAUUCAAUUAAACAAAUUAUAAUUUAUGAAUAGAUGGAUUAUAAAAUUUUUUUCCUAUCAUAAUAUCCAUAAAAUGCUUUGUAACAU